UAUUUUGUUCUGCACAGGUGCUAAAGUUGAUGCUUGUUGAGAAUGCUGGGAAGCUGUCUUCUAUAGAAGGACAUUUAAAUUGUGUUUUACAUUUAUUAGGCUUCUUGUAUAAUCACUGGCAUCAAGGUGGAGAUCUGUUGGGCUGUGAUGCCAUUUGAUCCAGUCCAACUGUUAGGCAAUGAUGAAAAGGCCCAAAUUGGAUUUAUUACUUGGUCCAUUAAAUAUAUACCUAGAAGGCCCACUUAACCGAGCCCAAUAUUCAGCCCACACCAUUAGUCGCUCUUGGACCGUUGGAUUGACCCGCUAAUCAACGGUUGAUGAUACUUA
rnacentral:lncRNA from 1 species